rnacentral:tmRNA from 1 species
GGGGGCGUAAUGGUUUCGACGGGGAUCAAGAAGUCAGAUAAGCGGGUAGAGCCGGGACAAUCUCUUUAAACUGUUCCAAAUUAAAAAUUUAAACGCUAAUAACGAAAACUUAAUCGCUGCCUAACAUGGCAGCCGUCCGCCCGGAGAGUAUCGCGGCUUCGGCUCGGGCGUCACACAGCGAUGAACGUGCACCGAAAUUUCGCUCUUGUACCGGUCAUGAAUAAAAGGGCUACCGAAAUCGCAGCUCGUCUGCUUCUGCGCUUCCGGGAAAUUCAGAGCCGACUACACCCGUAGAAAGUCUUUCGUUCGGAUUUUCGGACAGGGGUCCAAUUCCCCUCGCCUCCAU